GAUGAACGCUGGCGGCGUGCCUAAUACAUGCAAGUCGAGCGAAUGGAUUAAGAGCUUGCUCUUAUGAAGUUAGCGGCGGACGGGUGAGUAACACGUGGGUAACCUGCCCAUAAGACUGGGAUAACUCCGGGAAACCGGGGCUAAUACCGGAUAACAUUUUGAACCGCAUGGUUCGAAAUUGAAAGGCGGCUUCGGCUGUCACUUAUGGAUGGACCCGCGUCGCAUUAGCAAGUUGGUGAGGUAACGGCUAACCAAGGCAACGAUGCGUAGCCGACCUGAGAGGGUGAUCGGCCACACUGGGACUGAGACACGGCCCAGACUCCUACGGGAGGUAGCAGUAGGGAAUCUUCCGCAAUGGACGAAAGUCUGACGGAGCAACGCCGCGUGAGUGAUGAAGGCUUUCGGGUCGUAAAACUCUGUUGUUAGGGAAGAACAAGUGCUAGUUGAAUAAGCUGGCACCUUGACGGUACCUAACCAGAAAGCCACGGCUAACUACGUGCCAGCAGCCGCAGUAA
rnacentral:rRNA from 1 species